AGCACGAGGGGCUGCCCGAGCCCCUGACCCUGAGAUGGGAGCCGCCUUCUCACACCUUCAUCUUCAUCAUCGUGGGCAUCACUGGGGGCCUGGUUCUGCUGGUAGCUGUGGUUGGAGCUGUGAUGUGGGGGAGGAGGCGCUCAGGUGGGAAAGGAGGGAGCUACUCUCAGGCUGCCAGCAGUGACAGCGCCCAGGGCUCUGAUGUGUCUCUCUCAGCUUCCAAAGCGUGAGGCAGCUGCCUUGUGGGGACUGAGUGAUGGAAGAUGUUCACGCUCCCACUUCCUGACUCAAGAACCUCUGAUUGAGGGUCUGGCCCAGCCCUGCUCCCCACACUUUGCUGUCAGCAGAGGCGGGCUGGGCCCUCCCCAUCCCUGCCUUUACUCCCUGGUGCUCUGAGUUGCACCUUCCUGCUCUGUAUUGCAAUGAGACUGUGGAUUGA